rnacentral:rRNA from 1 species
AUUGGCACACAACGAACGCUGGUCUCCGUGCUUAACACAUGCAAGUCGAGCGGUAAGGCCCUUUGGGGUACACGAGCGGCGAACGGGUGAGUAACACGUGGGUGACCUGCCCCCUACUCUGGGAUAAGCCUGGGAAACUGGGUCUAAUACUGGAUAUGACCACGGAUCGCAUGGUGUGUGGUGGAAAGUGUGUUCUUGAUUGGACACUUCGGUGGGGGAUGGGCCCGCGGCCUAUCGGCUUGGUGGUGGGGUGAUGGCCCACCCAGGUCGACGACUCGGUAGCUGGUCUGAGACGACCAUCUCCCACUCUGGUGACUGAAACACGGCCCACACUCCUACUGGAGGCA